GGGCACAUGGUGUAGUUGGUUAUCACAUCCGCUUAGCACGAUGUGUGAGAUGCGGGGGGUGCUGGGUUCAAUUCCCAGUGUGUCCA